rnacentral:lncRNA from 1 species
CCUCAAAAAUCUACUUGGAGCUUCAUUUUACGGUGUCUGAGCUUGUACAAGACAAAGUUAUAUGACAAAGUCCUUUUUACCAUUUCCUCUUCUUUCCUCAAGCAGAAAGAAUCUCUUCACAUGGCCAUCGCCAGGACCCUGGCAAUAAGUGCCUAGCUACCACUGAUAUUUAUUUCAAGCCCAAGGUCUCUUUGGUCAGCAGAUGGUGAACCCUGCCAGGACUUCCCAACACUACACAAAAGGAGUCUCUUUCAGAGCUGCAAGCUGUGCUUUCUGGAGUUAGGAGAGAGGAGGGGACAAUCACUGGAGGGUUCACUUGGCCACCUUGCUCCACCUCUCCAAUCAGCAAUAAAAUAUUUUUAAAUUAAGGUAUGUAUAUUGAUUUUCAGACAUAAUGCUGUU